rnacentral:rRNA from 1 species
AGAGUUUGAUUCUGGCUCAGAACGAACGCUGGCAGCGUGGAUUAGGCAUGCAAGUCGAACGAGAAUCCGUGGCUUCAAGUUUUCGGACGAGAAGCUGCGGAGGACAGUGACGGAAGGGUGAGUAACGCGUGGGUAAUCUACCCUCAAGUUGGGAACAACCAGCCGAAAGGCUGGCUAAUACCGAAUGUGGUUUUUCUUCGCAUGGAGAGAGGACCAAAGGCGGGGAUCCUUCGGGACCUGCCGCUUGAGGAGGAGCCCGCGUCCCAUCAGCUAGUUGGUGAGGUAACGGCUCACCAAGGCUUACGGGUAGCUGGUCUGAGAGGAUGGUCAGCCACACUGGGACUGAGACACUGCCCAGACUCCUACGGGAGGCUGCAGUCGAGGAUCAUUUGCAAUGCGCGAAAGCGUGACAAUGCGACGCUGCGUGGAGGAUGAAUGCCUUCGGGUUGUAAACUCCUGUCAUUUGGGAAAAAUUAUGCGGGGGUGAAUAGUCUCUGCAUUUGAUGGUACCAAAAGAGGAAGCCACGGCUAACUCUGUGCCAGCAGCCGCGGUAAUACAGAGGUGGCGAGCGUUGUUCGGAUUUACUGGGCGUAAAGGGUGCGUAGGUGGUUUCGUAUGUCGGGCGUGAAAUCCCACGGCUUAACCGUGGAACUGCGUCCGAAACUGCGGAGCUAGAGUGCAGGAGGGGAGAGCGGAAUUCUUGGUGUAGCGGUGAAAUGCGUUGAUAUCAAGAAGAACACCGGUGGCGAAGGCGGCUCUCUGGAAUGCUACUGACACUGAUGCACGAAAGCUGGGGGAGCAAACAGGUUUAGAUACCCUGGUAGUCCCAGCUGUAAACGGUGUGAACUUGGUGUGGGGGGAAUUGACCCCCUCCGUGCCGGAGCUAACGCGUUAAGUUCACCGCCUGGGGAGUACGGCCGCAAGGCUAAAACUCAAAGAAAUUGACGGGGGCCCGCACAAGCGGAGGAGCAUGUGGCUUAAUUCGAUGCAACGCGAAGAACCUUACCAGGGCUUGACAUGUAACUGCACGCCCCGUGAAAGCGGGGAAGCCUUCGAGGGUGUUACACAGGUGCUGCAUGGCUGUCGUCAGUUCGUGCCGUGAGGUGUUGGGUUAAGUCCCGCAACGAACGCAACCCUUGUGUCUAGUUGCCACCUCAGGUGAUGAGCCUGAGCGCACUUUAGACAGACUGCCCGUACAA